GUCCCUGUAGCGCGAUGAAUAACGCCUAACCCAAAGGUCGUGGGUUCAAAUCCCACCUGAGAUU